AGCACGCAAAUUGUAACGAUAGAAAAAUUAAAAAUUUUAUCCCUUUUAAUUUUGAUGCUGGCAAAUUUUCAUGUAGGUAGUAGGCACCUAGUAGAUUGCAGAUGAAUGGUUGAUGUUUGAUCAUUGAUGAAUUUUGCGAGAAAAAAAUUCGUCAUUCGUGAUGUACCUAGUGAACGGCACGAACGAAAAGAACGACUGUUCCGCAUCUCACGUUCAAAUACAAAAAUCGCGUCCUGCGCCUGCCAACCUCACACUUCGAUACCCGUUGGUCAAAUCGCCAACCACAAAAUCCACAAUCAUUCAUUAUUUUAAUGAUGGUAGGAUGGAUUGGAAGUUUGUGAAGUGUAUUCAAUAAAACAUCCACAUCUGCUCGGGCAAUCUGCACUUAAAAUCCGGCGAGAAAGUGGAAAUCAUGUGAGGGUGAGCGGGAUGAUUUUGUACGAUGACAAGAAACAUUGUUUUGGGGUUACAAAUCCGAAAAUAACAAAUCAAUGCUUUUGAUGAAGAAUUUUGGGGAAUUUUCAAGCACUAGAUUAAUUGUUGACACUAGAUUUUAACUUAACUUAUCGUACUGUAUCUAUUUCUUACGUGUGAUGUAAAGUAAACUAGUAGAAAAUAAGAAACAGAGACGAAUAUAAUGUGGAGAGCUGCUACCCGUGAUAAAUGAAAGAAAAAAUUAAAGUAGAUCUAACCAGGUUCCUUAACUUUUGAGCGGAACAGUGAUAAAAAAAAUUUACAAAAAAGAAAAAUUAGCUUACUAUAGGUGGGUAUACCUGGAAACGGCUGGUACAAUUCAUCCAAAUCUAAACACUGAAUUUUUUCCCAUGAAAAAAAUUGGAUACCAACCAUAAUAUUUAGUUUUCAUAAUAAUGUACUUUAGGUACUAAUUUAAAUAAAUAAAUUUUGAAAAAAAAGAUAAUAUGAUGAAACAAAUGCGAGAAUGCAUAAAGCUAGUGAAGGGUCCGCGGCAAAAAGAGUUCAACCGUUCAACCUACAUUUUAAAUAUUUUCCACAGUCCUCAGUCAAUAAUGUUCGACUGGACUUGGAAAAUAAAAUAAACGGGGUUGUUAUUUCAACUUCUUGCUACGUAGGUAGAGAUACUUAACAAAAUAGAAAUUCGAUGUCAUAAUUCAACCAAAAAGAAGAAAUGGAACUAAUAAUUGACCGCAAUUAUUCUAAUAAUUAAUAAAGAAAAUAGCUGUAAUCGAAAGUUAUUUAUUAUCACACGGAAUUUGACCAAUCGACCAUACUCGUAUAGUCAUUUUCAAAUCGAUAAUAGGCUUAAAUUAGUAAAUUAAUAAUCAUUUGUCCUAGUUAAAUUAAAAAAUAAGGCUACAACUAAACUAAAAGUUUUUAUAUGUAGGUACUACUAACUUAUGCCAUUUCUUCCAAAAAUACACAGGUAGGUAGUUUAAUUUUUUCAAAAAAACAAUUGAAAAAAAUUACUCUUUGAAAGAAUUUAAUUUAAUAAACAAAAUUGAAAAUAAUUCGUACAUUAGGUUGGUGGUACCUAAACCUAUAUUUAGUAUGUAAGUGCUUUAAAAAAAUGAAAUUUUUGAUUUUUCAAAUUCAUUUUUUCAAUUUUUAUGGAAAAAUGUUUAAACAAAUGCAGGUACCUAAUUAAUAAUUAUAAGUAUCAUUGAUUUUGCAGAAAUUUUAUAAUCUAAUUUCGUAACAUUGAUUUUCAAUGCAUGAAUAUUAGCCAGAUCGUGCCCAUAAGAUUUCUACACAAUGACGCCACCUUGAGGUGAAUGUUAUUUCCGAAUCGGAAUACCUACUGACAUAUGCCCAUCCGUGUAUAACAGAAGAAUUAUUGUUGGUUUGGGGUAAAUGUACGUUUUUGAGGAGAGUGCCGAUUUCGAUUCAUCAAGUAAUUUUGCACCAAAAUCGACUCCCAAGAGUGUUGGGUACAGCCCCCCCCCCCUCCAUCUACAAUUUUGGUCUGAAAUUUCCAAACGCGAAUGAGGAGUUUUUUUUGUGUGUAAUGUAUAAAAUGGAAUGUUUACAGAAAGGUGACCACGAAUAUGGUCAUUGGUCAUACUUUUUUGAUUGAACCCAUUUGAAGCCCCCCAGCGCACCCCCUCUCCAUAAUGGGGCUAAAAUUCAAACGAAUAGUCUCAGUACCGCGACCAUAACACGUCGAAUACCAUGUUUUCGGAGUUGCUGAACACGAAAAUGGCCACCGUUUUUCUAUAAAAAUACAAAUUACUUACUGAAUACUCGUACCUUGGUGAACCAAUGAAUGAAUCCAAGUGAAUAUAAAACGAGCUUUUGCUCAUCUAUAUGCUUAGUUUAAUAAAGUACCUAAUAAGAUUUUGAAUAUUUAUGAACAGUUUACUAGACAAUGACACAAUUAUGAUAAUAUACACAAUAAAGAUGAUUAUAAUUACGCGCAAUAAAUAGGUACUAACUGAAACUUGAUGUGACACAUAAGAAUAAAAUUUGAAUAACUAUAGGUACAUGUAAAAUGAGGCAACUCGGUAUAUUUUUUUUUACGUAAGUGAAUAAUAAUAAUUAAUCACACUUUUUACUGAACAAAGACUUAAUUAAAUGAAAAAUACAUAUUAAAAAAAAUAAAAAUUAAAACAUAUUGUGAGGCACGUUUCAGUCUACUUGGCAACCAUAAUCAAUCACAAUUCAUGAAUGAAAAACUAAUUAAAAUUAAAUGCAACAGGAAUGGGUGGAGGACAUGCAUAAAGAUGUACCUGAACUAAAAAUUGAACAGAAGAAAACUAUGUGAAGGGUAAAAAAAUGUGCAAAAAAGGAAAGCAGCACUUACCUACUUGAAGUGGCUGUAUGUCCUUACAAAAUCAUUCAUGCUGACUUGAUAGGACCAAUUAAGAAAAUGAAUCAUAUUCUUGGAGAGACAGGCAUGACAUUAAAUUUGGCUAGUGAAUUUUUUUUAGCAAUGUUUAAAAACCAAGAGUUAGAUACCUUUGGUAAACAAGAAAAAAUUGGAAAAUAUCUGAAAAAUAAACAAUAUUAAAAAAUAUGAGGGAUGUUGAACACGACAUUCUUGAAAAUGAACAUUUUCUACGUUUAAAAAUGACGCGUUUUGUGAAAAUAACCCAAAAACAACAAAAAAAUAUCAAAAAGCAACGUGCAACAUCGAGUAAAAUAUCCUUAAAAAUUAACAUGCUUAGGUGAAACACAAUUUAAAAAUUCCUCAAAAUUUAACAAAAUUUACCUUGGUACUUAAGAAACAUGAUUUUCGGUUCACAUAAGGGGAAAAAAUGAAGAAGAUCAUUACCUCAUUGUCUAGGUAUAUGCAAAAAAAAUUACUAUUUUCGUGAAUUUUUUUAUUUUCUAAAUGUGUUUUCUGUGAUUUUUCUACACAACUACCAAUUUACCAAAAAGUGAUUUUUUCACUUUUCAUAAGAGAUGUUAAUUAGAUUACAGCCAAUUUUUUAUAGGUGAGUUAGACACUUGAGAAUAAGUAGGUAAUGGUAUUUUAUCCUACUAGUAAAAUAAAGUGAUUUUUGACGAUUUUUGAGGUUUAUUUCCCGAGCAGAGCGAGGGAAGUAAUUAAAAAUCGUCGAAAAUCACUUUAUUUCACUAGUUGAAUAACAUAUUUUAUCCAAACGUGGGAAGAAAACGCGCAUUUGAUCACUCGAGCGACUAGCGAGAGUGAAUAAAGUAGUGUUUUAUUCUACUAGUAGGAUAAAGUAGUUUUUGUUGUUUUGGCUGAGUGUCCCACUGUCCCUUUAUAAAUAGAAAAAGGGGUAGUUUCACUGAUUCUUUGCCAAUCUCAAUGGUGAUAAGAAGUUCAGGUUUGUUUUUAUGUUCAAAUUCGAGAAAUUUGAACUCAGCAACUUGAAAGAGGUGACAAUCCCUUUUUACUUAAGUGAAUAAUAAUAAUUAAUCACGCCUUUUAGUGAACAAAGACUUAAUUAAAUGAAAAAACAUUAUAAAAAUUAACGCACUAGAAAAAUAGAACAAGUCGAACGAAGUAUUUCCGACUGUCCCCGAAGACUUCCGAGUUUUUGCACCAGAAAAAAAAAUAGUGCACUUUAACGUCUAGUCUUUCAAGUAGAUUUAUCAAAACGAAAAAUUCUAUAGGGAAGUUUUCAUCCCAGAAAUUGUUUUUUUUUUCUAAUUGUAAUUAUCUUAGCCAUCGGGUGUGAUUUUCAAAUUUUCAAUAAGCGAAGUUGUAAUGUUUCGUAGCCCCAAGAAUCGUCCAUAUUUACAGCUUCUACUUUUUUGGAAUAUAAUUAUUAAUUUCCCGAGCCUUUUCGAGUGCUAUUUCCAGUACACACAUUCAAAAUGACGAUUCUUGCCAUGGCCAUCUUAACUGGCCCAAAAUUUUUGAGCGAGACAAGUCCAUAUCGAAAGAGUAUGCAAAGAAUUACGGAAAUUGAUUUCAAAAUUGCAAAAAAAAAAUACAUUAUGACUACAAAAAUAAAGAUCUUCAAAGGGAACAAAUUCGAAUAAAAUUUUUCAGUUACUUAUUUUUGAAUAACUCUCGUAAAAAUGUUAAUUAAUUGACCGUUGAAAUAACAGAGAAUGACAGAAAUGUGACUAUUCUGGAGAAAAUGUCGAAAAUACAUUGGUCAAUUUUUCUGUUUUCACGGUUUUGAAAAUUAUCAUUUUUCAAUUUUAACGCCAAAAAAUGCAAGAUUAUGAUGAAAUUUACGCCAAAUACCCUAUAAAAACAUGAUCGAUCGAUUAAUCGGGGAAAAAAAAUUACUUACUGAUUAACCACCAAUGUUGUAUGUUGUAAACACGGGAACACUACACACGAAUGUAGGUACAGAUUUAAUGUUCAAAAAAAACGCGGUACCAUACGCGUGAGAAUAAAAAUUCAUUUUAAUUUAGGUACAUAAAAUAGAAGAAAAAGUCAACAAACCAACGAAGUAAUAAUUAUGUACAUCAUAUGGUAAUGUAAAAUUUCAAGUGCCCAGUAUAUACAUGUAAAAUGAGGCAACUCGCCAUAUUUUUUUACGUAAGUGAAUAAUAAUAAUUAAUCACGCCUUUUAGUGAACAAAGACUUAAUUAAAUGAAAAAACAUUAUAAAAAAUUAAAAUUAAAACAUUGUGAGACACUUUUCACAUUUCAGUCUACUUGGACACCAUUAUCAUUUUAUCAAUCACAAUUUAUGAAUGUAAAACUAAUUAAAAUUGAAUGAAACAGUACUGCGUUGAGGACAUGUACCUACCUAUAAGGAAAUGUGAUGUUAAUUAAAAAUCAAAUGAACGAGUCAAAAAGUCGAGUCUAAAAUUAUAAAGGGUAAAAAAAUGUGCAAAAAAGGAAAGCAACACUUACAUUGGAAGUGGCUGUAUGUCUUUGCAAAAUCAUUCAUGCUGACUCAAUAGGACCAAUUGUGAAAAUGAAACUUACAAUUAGAGAGACAGGCAUGACAUUAAAUUUGGUUAAAUAAAUCGAAAAGGUGUCAAAUUGAGCCAAUUGAGGUGAAAUAUGUGGGUUUUAUUUUGCAUAGUGGAGGGUCUAGAAUUGAUGAAAGUAAAAUUUAGACCAUUCUUGACUUUGAGCCUCCAAGCAACAUUGAGGAAUGUCAACGUUAUUAAUUUUAGGAUUCUUUCAAUAUUACCAAGAAUAUCUCCCAAAUAUUGCCAAAUUAGCUUAUGUCAACCUCUUAUUAAAAAUGCCACAUCAACAAAUAUUAUUUAUUAGGUACUUAAAAAGGUUGAAGAAUAGAAAAGGAAUUUGGCAAACCAGAAGCUUUGUUAUUGGACAAUGAUCCUCAGUUAAAAUCCACUCAGGAGUGGAAGUCAGACAGACGUCAUUUUUCGCUCCUACCAGUAAUUCUGUUGAAAGGGUCAUGGCGACUCUAGGUACCGUAGUUUUUGUAAAUACAUGGGCUGAUGAACAUACAAAGUGGCCUCAGUUGUUGAAAGAACAGCAAGUGCAAGCUGAAUUACACACCAAAAGUGCAACACCUGAGAGUACCUAUUCAAUAUGAGUUGGUCACUAAACAAGUAGAUAGUGCCUGACCAAUUUGGUUGAUAUUUUGAUUAAAAAUUGGUUAACUAUAGUUUACCCUAAUUUGGGAACAAAAGCAAGGGAAAAUAUCCGUUCUGCAAUACACAAAAAUAACUUUACUUUUCAGUAAAACUCAUUAAAUUAUUCGUUCAUCCCAUGGUGAAACAGUUUUGAUUCGCAAUAGACAAUUACGUGGUACCUAAUACCUAUCAAAUAAAUUAAGACAAAUUUAAUUUAACGCAAUUGAGAAUCUAAACCUAAUAUUUAUCAAAAUGUUGAAGAUAGGUUAUAAUUGUAAUUCUAUAAGAACUUUAUUAUGUAAAUAUUUGUAAUCUUUGCAUGAUGUCCGUGAGUUAUUCAAGACAAGUCAAAGUUCUAUGGAAAAGCCUAGAUACGAGUACCAAGUCAAUGGAGGGAGAUGUCAAUUGAUACUGAGCCAAAUCCAAAAGUAUCCUUUUUCACACAGCUCAGCAUGUUACUUGAUUGUAGUUGUAUUUUAUUUUUUUCCUUGACGUUUUUCUGUUGAAUUUUCUCCAGUGUAUUGUUGUUGAUUUUUUUUUAUCAAUUGUGUACCUAUUUGUGGUAAUAAUUUUCCUAUAAGUUCUUCUUUUUCUGCUGCUAUUAAUUCACCAACUAGUUUAAACUCUAUGGUUGUUGAGAAGACCAUCAUGAUUGCUAAUGCGUUGCUUAAAGUUCUAAUGAACUUACGCCAAUUUAUUUUCAUAUUUUUUUAAUGGUUGUUGUCGAUUGUUCAUCAAAUUAUUUGUCAGGUCUUUGACCUAAAUUAUUGUCAACUUGGGUAUCCAUUUUCAAAGACUUGUCAGUAUUGCCUAUUCUUGUAGGUUGAAGUUUUUAAAAGGCACACAGUGAGAUUAAUGUUUUAUCCUCGAUUACAUUUAACUGAUGUUCAAUGUUUAUCAAAUGAGUGAGCAGAUUUUGGUGAGGGCAUUUGCCUAAAAUACAGCAGUUUUCCUGAUUACCUACUGUUCAGUCUAUUUCCUAUGUAAAAGCAAAUGGUAAAAGUGGUUAGGUCCUAUUUCAAUAAUAUGUAAUGUAGAUAUUGUUUUCAAAUAAUUCAUUGACACUUGUAUAAUGUAUUCCUAUUAGAUUACUUCAUGUUGAAUUUUAUGUCUCUUUUCAACUUAUAAGAUAAGUAAUUUUUUUAGUGAUAAUUAUGGCAGAACGGAUCUCAAGAUUUAUUCUUUUAAUUUAAUUUUAUUUUUUCCUCUUUUUUAACAUUUUUUAAUUUUCACUUUUUGAUGCUUAUAAGUUAUAAUUAGAAGAAUUUAGCGUUGGUUUGAGUUAGACAUUUUGUUGCUUUGUUUUUCGUUCAGUUUUAUUUUAAUUUGAGUAUCUAUAGGUAUCAUCUGUUGAUCCGUUUUUGGAUUUCGGUGUGUACUGGUUAUGUAUUUUUCUCAACUUGUAUGUGUUGUUUUUUUUACCUUUUUUUAAUGUAAAUUUUCGCAAUGUAUUUACUAUUUAGUUUGAAUUAAACAGUGUUUGAAUAUUGA